rnacentral:rRNA from 1 species
AUUGAACGCUGGCGGCAUGCCUUACACAUGCAAGUCGAACGGCAGCGCGGGAGCAAUCCUGGCGGCGAGUGGCGAACGGGUGAGUAAUACAUCGGAACGUGCCCAAUCGUGGGGGAUAACGCAGCGAAAGCUGUGCUAAUACCGCAUACGAUCUACGGACGAAAGCAGGGGACCGCAAGGCCUUGCGCGAAUGGAGCGGCCGAUGGCAGAUUAGGUAGUUGGUGGGGCAAAGGCUCACCAAGCCAACGAUCUGUAGCUGGUCCGGGAGGACGACGGGCCACACUGGGACUGAGACACGGCCCGGACACCGACGGGAGGCAGCAGUGGGGAAUUUUGGACAAUGGGCGCAAGCCUGAUCCAGCCAUGCCGCGUGGAGGAUGACGGCCUUCGGGUUGUAAACUGCUUUUGUACGGAACGAAAAGGUCCUUUCUAAUAAAGAGGGCUCAUGACGGUACCGUAAGAAUAAGCACCGGCUAACUACGUGCCAGCCGCCGCAGUAAUAC